rnacentral:rRNA from 1 species
UACGUAGGCAGCAAGCGUUGUUCGGAAUUACUGGGCGUAAAGAGUGUGUAGGCGGUGCUCUAAGUUUGGUGUGAAAUCUCCCGGCUCAACUGGGAGGGUGCGCCGAAAACUGGAAUGCUAGAGUAUGGGAGAGGUAAGCGGAAUUCCUGGUGUAGCGGUGAAAUGCGUAGAUAUCAGGAGGAACACCUGUGGUGUAGACAGCUUACUGGACCAUCACUGACGCUGAGACACGAAAGCGUGGGUAGCAAACAGG